AAAUAUGAAGCGAUUUAUUGCAAUUAGUUUCGACCUAAUUUUAGGUGAAAUUUCACCCUUAUUUU
rnacentral:tRNA from 1 species